rnacentral:rRNA from 1 species
AUGAACGCUGGCGGCAGGCCUAACACAUGCAAGUCGAACGGAGUUAUAUUGUAGCUUGCUAUGGUAUAACUUAGUGGCAGACGGGCGAGUAAUGUAUAGGAAUCUACCUAGUAGUACGGAAUAAUUGUUGGAAACGGCAACUAAUACCGUAUACGCCCUACGGGGGAAAAAUUUAUUGCUAUUAGAUGAGCCUAUAUUAGAUUAGCUAGUUGGUGGAGUAAUAGCCUACCAAGGCAAUGAUCUAUAGCUGAUCUGAGAGGAUGAUCAGCCACACUGGAACUGAGAUACGGUCCAGACUCCUACGGGAGGCAGCAGUGGGGAAUAUUGGACAAUGGGCGAAAGCCUGAUCCAGCCAUGCCGCAUGAGUGAAGAAGGCCUUUGGGUUGUAAAGCUCUUUUAGUGAGGAAGAUAAUGACGGUACUCACAGAAGAAGUCCUGGCUAACUCCGUGCCAGCAGCCGCGGUAAUACGGAGAGGGCUAGCGUUAUUCGGAAUUAUUGGGCGUAAAGGGCGCGUAGGCGGAUUAGUAAGUUAAAAGUGA